rnacentral:rRNA from 1 species
UACGAAGGGGCUAGCGUUGCUCGGAAUCACUGGGCGUAAGGGUGCGUAGGCGGGUCUUUAAGUCAGGGGUGAAAUCCUGGAGCUCAACUCCAGAACUGCCUUUGAUAUUGAGGAUCUUGAGUUCGGGAGAGGUGAGUGGAACUGCGAGUGUAGAGGUGAAAUUCGUAGAUAUUCGCAAGAACACCAGUGGCGAAGGCGGCUCACUGGCCCGAUACUGACGCUGAGGCACGAAAGCGUGGGGAGCAAACAGGG